rnacentral:rRNA from 1 species
UACAGAGGGGGCAAGCGUUGUUCGGAAUUACUGGGCGUAAAGGGCGCGUAGGCGGCCCGCUAAGUCGAACGUGAAAUCCCCAGGCUCAACCUGGGAACUGCGUCCGAUACUGGCAGGCUCGAAUCCGGGAGAGGGAUGUGGAAUUCCAGGUGUAGCGGUGAAAUGCGUAGAUAUCUGGAGGAACACCGGUGGCGAAGGCGGCAUCCUGGACCGGUAUUGACGCUGAGGCGCGAAAGCUAGGGGAGCAAACGGG